UACGCAGGGGGCAAGCGUUGUCCGGAUUUAUUGGGCGUAAAGAGCGUGUAGGCGGCCAUACAGGUCCGUUGUGAAAACUGGAGGCUUAACCUCCAGACGUCGAUGGAAACCGUAUGGCUAGAGUCCGGAAGAGGAGAGUGGAAUUCCUGGUGUAGCGGUGAAAUGCGCAGAUAUCAGGAAGAACACCGAUGGCGAAGGCAGGUCUCUGGGCCGAUACUGACGCUGAGGAGCGAAAGCGUGGGGAGCGAACAGG
rnacentral:rRNA from 1 species